rnacentral:rRNA from 1 species
UACAGAGGUCUCGAGCGUUAGGCGGAAUCACUGGGCUUAAAGCGUGUGUAGGUGGAUCGUUAAGUGCCUUGUGAAAUCCCACGGCUCAACCGUGGAACUGCUUGGCAUACUGGCGGUCUUGAGCAACCUAGGGGCGAGCGGAACAAAUGGUGGAGCGGUGAAAUGCGUAGAUAUCAUUUGGAACGCCAAUGGUGAAAACAGCUCGCUGGGGGUUUGCUGACGCUGAGACACGAAAAGCCAGGGGAGCAAACGGG